rnacentral:lncRNA from 1 species
AAAAAAACGAAUAUAUAAAAAUAAAAUGCAACAAGAAGCAAGAAGCGAUAAAAGGUACUCCUAACUUUUAUUAUAGAUUAUUGAAUUUUUAAAUAAAAUACAACCUCCACACCCCAACAUUGAAAGAAGCCCGGUAAUGGUGUUAACCUUACCUUCACCCUUUCUCUAGAACCCAGAUGGUGUUUUUAAAUAGGUUGAGUGCUUAGGAGUUUAGGAGUCUCCUUUUAUACUCCAUACAAAUUGGACAAACACCUUAGGACAGUGACUUUAGCUUCAAGUUGAAGUAUGUAUUGUUCAAUGCUUUGGAAAAAAUUGUGCAUGUCCAUUACCUCACUCCCAGGAACUGCUCCCUGAAGCUCCCUAAGCUUCCUUUGCAAGGAAGGUUUCACUUUCACAGCAUUAUUAUUGGCCAAACAAACUUUCGCCCUUCUCUUCCUUCCCCUAACUGUUACAUGUCUCGGCCAACGCCUUGUGCUCAUUUUGCCUAGCUAAGCUACACACAAUUAAGGAGAAAGAGAAUUUAGAGAUUAGAAAAUUAAGAAUUUGAAAUAAACAGUACUGCAAUGACACGGAAAAAUUUAAGAGAGAUAGAUG